CCCUGAUCACUGAUCUUGUGAUGAGUGUGCGUUCGUUUGUUGUGAGCUUGUAUUUGUGUAUGUCUUGUGUCUUACUGUCUUCCCAAAUCCCAAAUAAUACGCGUUCUCUAGAAAGUUUCAAGUAACCUGUUUGUUAUUUUUAAUUUUUAUUUAAAAUUUAAAGGUAUUUUCAUGUAGGAAAGAAAAUAUUUUAUUGGAAUAGUGAUACUAGAUAUUGAUGUUUUUAUAGUUCUGUGAUUAUGCUUGAUGCUCGCGAUAUUUGUAUUUUACACUGAGAUGACAGGAGUAAAAAGUGAUUUUGGUUUGACUUUCAGAUUCUAUUUUUUAACAUUGUCUAAAUUCUUUGUUUUGAAUUAGUUAGGCUAUGUCUCAUUUGAUAUUAUAAUAUAAUGUUGAACUAAGUUAUAGGUACUUCGUCAAAUUGAAGGCCACAGGUAUCUAAAUCAUAGAUCACUUUAACUUACCUAUAAAAUAUUCAAUUCAUGAUUGCUCAUUCAUUUUUAGUGAAAUGGACUCAAAUUCUCAAGCAAAACCAGUUAACCCUCUUCAUGAUGGGUCAAACGUAGCAUUUGGUACUCGUAGUGGUAUAUGUACUGGUGUAGAAUCUGGAUAUGGUCGAAUCAUACCAAAAACACCUGAAUUCCAAGGUAGAUCUUUUCCUGUUAACUCAUCAACAAAUUUGAACAACUCUGCUGAGAUGAUGGCAAGCAGUGGCUCUCGUUCUGUACCUGCUAGUACAGUUGUUUCUCCUGUAAGAACAUUUCCAGAUAGAAAUAGAUCACAUGAAGUCCAGCACAGAUCUCUGGGCGCUAUUGAGAGUUUCGUGAUGGAGGCUUCAAGUCAACAGGUUGGGAAAGCACCGCAGAUUCAAGAUUACAAACAUUAUGAGAGAGGAAAUAUUAUUGCAGCCUCCAAGUUUGCAACCCCAAAACCGGUUGAGAAUAUUACAGUAAGUUUGAGUAAUGUUGCAAUUAAUGAAAAGCAUAACGAUAUUCCAAACAGAUUGCAUCACACAAACCAGAAUGGAGGAAUGAUAGAUCACAAUAAAUAUUAUAGUUCUUACUUGAUGAAACCGGGGGCAGUGAGCCCUACGCACAGUCACAGCGGCUCAAGUCGAGAAUCGAAUAGUCCGCGGGCGAGUAUGGCGGCAGCACCUGUUUCACACAACUACGAGUACAAAGCCAACAGUCCUUCGCCACUCUAUGAGAACAUAGACUAUUACAAUGCACGCACCUCAGCCCCGCCCUACUACCACCAACUUCCACAGACACAUUCCAGUUAUGGCUCAUCAGACUCAAAGCAUUCCAGCCCCAGGGCAAGCUAUGUCGCCACCGAUGACGCAACAUUCCGCAAAGCACAACCUCAAGUACCUUCUGGGGUCAAGUACAAACCGAAAGAAUACCCGCCCUACGAAGCCCCACCGGUCUAUGAGAACAUCCAGGACAUCAGUAAGGUCAACUACGAGCCAGCCAAACCAGGACCCCAGGUCGCUUCACACAAUGAACAGAGGCAUUCUGUUGUGGCUUCCAUGCCGUACACUCCGCCCUCAUUCCCAGCCAGCUACUCUAGCGGGCCGCCAAUCAUGCAUUCCAAUUCAUCAGCUGGGCAAGUGGUGGCCAUCGACAGUCGGCAACCACAACAACAACAACAACAAUAUUUCCAGGCGACGACUGUUGUGAGCACAGCUGUUCCCCUAUCAGUCGUCACUUCUGGACAAACUUCGUUGGCGACCAGUUAUCAGAGAGGGACCAUGUCUGGCAUCGCUGGGAGCAUCAGUCCUGUUUCGCAGAGCCAGAAUCCACCCAGUCCUACGCCGUCAGCCAAAAUCAAAGCCAUGGCAGGCAGCGGCAAGAAUCUUCUUCCGUACAACAUCACUCCACCACGCCCUAUGGGCCCCACUGAAGCAGAGAGAAAAAUUGAAGAACUCACCAGACAAUUAGAGGAGGAAAUGGAGAAACAAGAAGAGGAAGGAGAAUAUUUCGGCAUUUGCCACACGUGUGGAGAGAAGGUGACAGGCGCAGGACAGGCGUGUCAGGCGAUGGGCAACCUCUACCACACCAACUGCUUCAUCUGCUGCUCGUGUGGCCGGGCGCUCAGGGGCAAGGCCUUCUACAACGUGCACGGCAGAGUCUAUUGCGAGGAGGACUAUCUGUAUUCAGGGUUCCAGCAGACGGCUGAGAAGUGUGCUAUCUGUGGCCACCUUAUCAUGGAAAUGAUCCUCCAAGCCAUGGGCAAGUCAUAUCACCCAGGCUGCUUCCGGUGCUGCAUGUGUAACGAAUGUCUGGACGGCGUCCCCUUCACCGUAGAUGUAGAUAAUAAAAUAUAUUGUGUCAACGACUAUCACAGGGUACUGAGGAGACCGUGCGUGUAGUAUCAAUGGACAAAGACUUCCAUGUAGAUUGUUAUAUAUGUGAGGAAUGUGGUAUGCAGCUAACUGACGAGCCUGAUAAGCGUUGUUAUCCUCUGGAUGGCAGAUUAAUGUGUAGAGCGUGUCACUUGAAUCAUCAACCUCGACCAUUACAGAGUGUUCCUGCUAGUUACCAUUUGGGCUGAAGAUUAUUAUCAUAAUUUCUAAAAAUCAUCAUACAGUAAUUUUCACUUUGUAAACUAUUAGGCUAUAUUUGGAUGUACGGUAACUUAUUGAAUAGACAAUUAUGAUGAACUGUGUUAUCAUAACAUUAAUGCUCACAGAGAUCUGAUUAAUUGACUCAAUUAGCUUUUGUAAUAUUUUCUUCAUCCAAUUGUUGGUCCCUUUGUUUUUAAUUCAAUGAAUUAAUGUAGUAAUUCAGAUAUUCACUACAUGGAUCCAUUGAACCCUAUGUGAAAAAUCGUAUAAUAAUAAUUUGAUACAUGCAAAUGUUCAAUUCAAGUGUAAAAACGGUUUUUCAAAUUUAUAUUUGUAUUUAGUAUUUUUUUUUUUAAUUAAAUGAUGAAUGAGAGUAAGUUGAUGUAACUUGUAUCAAGUAAGAUUACUUUUGUUGGAUUUUAAAAAUGAUUUUCUUUUGCUCUUUCGAUCGGAUUUAAAUGAAUGAUUUUUUUUAUUCAAAUAUUUUGUAAUUUACAAUUAUUCAUACCUUUAAACAGGUUUUAUUUUGUGGUAAACUGAAUCAUUUUAUUUUCACAUUUUUUGUCAUUGAAUGUUUUGAAUAAACAUUAUUUAAUUUGGAUGAAGAAUCCUUCAUAGAUAUGGCUUUAUUGAAGUAAUUCAUUAGCAAACUGAAGAGAUCAGUGUUAAUCAAUCAUAGUUCAAUAAAUAGCUUAUUUAUUAAAUGUACUCCUUGAGAAAGAAAGAUAAUUAAAGUAACUAUUUCUGAUGCUUCGGGAUCUACUGUUUUUGUAUAUUUAUAUUUACUUGUCUUAGCCAAUAUUAAUAAAAAUAUGUUCAUCAUGAUUUAUAGAUCAUUCUGUGAAUGAUUUUCAAUUUUAAUCGUAUAGAUUUUCAGCUAAAAACUUUCAUAGUACUGUAUAUAAUUAUUAUUUAUAUUUAAUACUGUAUUAUUAAACAAACUUUUCCUUGCUCAUAUUUCUACAUCACUGUUAUUAUUUGUGAUCUUUGAAUCAUAUAUACAUACUUCACAAUGUAAAACUGGAUAUGUAUAAUGUAUAUUAAUAACUCAAACAAUAUUAUUCGUGUAAGUUGUAUCUCAAUAUCAGUUCACAAAAAUCAAUAAUUAUUAAUAACUCAAUAUUAAUUAUUACUAUUAUUAUAUUCAACAUGAAAUAUGCCGAAUAACUGGCAUAAUUGAUACCAAACCAAUGAUUUUAAAACUCAAAUUAUAAUCUUAAUAGCUAUUCCAGUGCUUCCAUAAACUAACUAUGCUGUUCAAUAUAAUAGUACGUGUUCAAUCUUGAAGUAAGGAAGAGUUCCAAGCUUUAAUGAAUUAUUGUAGAAAUAAUAUGUUAUACUUGAUUUUUGACAUUAAAUUCAUACGAUUUAAAUGAAUGAACAGCUAUGUUGCAAUAAGUAUAUUUCAAAUAAGGAAAUUAUAGAACUCCCCUCUCUUUGAAAGUAGAGUUCUAAAACUAGAUAAAUUCACCGGUUAGUAGUCUUAUUAUUUCUCCGCUAGUUUCGAACAAAGAAUUUCUUGUUCAGUAAUUUAAAACAACAUUUCUCAUGUUACUCUGACCUUAUAUUUAUUUUACUUAAUUUAUUUUACUAUUGACUUUCAACUAUUUCCAAUCUUGAUCUUUCUCCUAUUCAUUCACCUUCUGGGGGUUUCCUGUAAUUAGUAAAUAAUAACAAUAUAGAAGGAAGAGUUUAGAAGAUUUUGUUUACAAUUAUCAACAAAGCACAAGCAUCCAUUAUAUAGCAUCGUGUCUUAUGUUUUUAAAUUAUGUCGUUAAAUAAUAAUUUUUCAAUUAUUGAUGGUGAUAAGUUGUAGAAAGUACAAAGAACGAUUUUCAUCAUGAAGGUGAUGAUAUAUUUUAUUUUGAGAUGGAAACCAUUCCAGAAUCACCCCCGCCGCCACUGAUACAACUUUUUAGAUUUAAUUCAUAUUAAAUAGCUGCUGUGAUAAUUUAUUGGUAACAAUUACUUUUUAAAUUAGUUAUUUUAAUAAACGUACAACACGCCGAGAAAUUUUUAAGAUAUCUUAGAUAAAGACAAGUUUUAUUUUACUCAUAUUUAUGAUAAUUUUGUGGGAAAUUAUGAUAGUGUAUACUAUAACAUUGUAGAAGUAUAUUGCUUAAUUUGCAUGAUUUAUUUCGAAAGCACAAUUUAUGAAACUUUCUAUUCAAAAUGUGAAUAUAUUUGAGAAACUACGAAUAAAUGAGUAUUAUUAAAAAA
rnacentral:misc_RNA from 1 species